UCUCAGCCUUGGGUGUCUGAUAGGAGUGAUCUUUGCUGGGGAUGUGGAUUGGGCUUUGGCACCUGGUACAAAAAAAUGAAUCAAUCACUACUCCUGCCUUCCCACAUAUAUGAACCCCCAACUGUAUGCAUUUGUUAUGGCAGAGGAAGAUGUUGAUUUAUGGCACCUCUCAAGAAUUUUUAACUAAGAAGUACUUGUCAGUCAUCAUAAAACAAGCAACCAACCAAAGCAGAAGAGAUCCUGUAAUGUAAUCUGCAAGAUCUGUUGUUACAGACCUGUAAUCUGUUCUUCUUAUGAGCAUCUCUGACACGUGAAGGAUUCAGCAUUAGUGGAUGAGAGGAAAUGAAGGUGGCUUUCUGCAGAGCAAUGUUAACUCUAGACCAAAGCACGUUCUCAUGCUUGCUGUGUGACACUCUUCUGCUUCUCAACACCAUAGCAUGGGUGACUCUGGGGCUGCCUCAAACCAGAGGUGUAAAAAUCCUUAAAAUGCAUCAUAUCAAAGGAUUUAAGGCUUCCCCAAGAUUUAUGCACUUCUAGGAGAUGAGACAAAACCAAAAAUUUUGAGAAUUUAUGCUUUGGACGUGGAAACACCAGAGUUUUUUUUCUAUCCUUAUAUUUCUAUGUAUUCUCUACACUGCAAUAAACUCAGAUGAAGAAGUAUCAGAAAUCUGUUUGCAGGGAAGAUGUUUAGAGCUAAAACCUUUUGAAAAUGAACCUAAUAUGCUUUUGCAAGGAUGUUUGAAUGAAGGAAUUGGAUUCAAGCUCCUCUUUAAUUUGAAUGCAUCUUAAUAUACA